rnacentral:rRNA from 1 species
AUACGGAGGUUGCAAGCGUUAUCCGGAUUUAUUGGGUUUAAAGGGUGCGUAGGCGGAUCGGUCAGUCAGUGGUGAAAUCCCAUAGCUUAACUAUGGAACUGCCAUUGAUACUGCCAAUCUCGAGUAUAGUUGAAGUGGAUGGAAUGUAACAUGUAGCGGUGAAAUGCAUAGAUAUGUUACAGAACACCGAUUGCGAAGGCAGUUCACUAAACUAUUACUGACGCUGAGGCACGAAAGCGUGGGGAGCGAACAGGAUUAGAAACCCUAGUAGUCC